rnacentral:rRNA from 1 species
CACAUGCAAGUCGAGGGGUAGCAGGGUAGCAAUACCGCUGACGACCGGCGCACGGGUGAGUAACACGUAUCCAACCUACCGUUUACUCGGGGAUAGCCUUUCGAAAGAAAGAUUAAUACCCGAUAGUAUAAAGAGUUCGCAUGUUCUCUUUAUUAAAGGAUUCCGGUAAAUGAUGGGGAUGCGUUCCAUUAGAUUGUUGGCGGGGUAACGGCCCACCAAGUCUUCGAUGGAUAGGGGUUCUGAGAGGAAGGUCCCCCACAUUGGAACUGAGACACGGUCCAAACUCCUACGGGAGGCAGCAGUGAGGAAUAUUGGUCAAUGGGCGUUAGCCUGAACCAGCCAAGUAGCGUGAAGGAUGACUGCCCUAUGGGUUGUAAACUUCUUUUAUAAGGGAAUAAAACGGGGAACGUGUUCCCCUUUGCAUGUACCUUACGAAUAAGGAUCGGCUAACUCCGUGCCAGCAGCCGCGGUAAUACGGAGGAUCCGAGCGUUAUCCGGAUUUAUUGGGUUUAAAGGGUGCGUAGGCGGAAUGAUCAGUCAGUUGUGAAAGUUUGAGGCUCAACCUUAAAAUUGCAGUUGAUACUGUCAUUCUUGAGUGUACAAGAGGUGGGCGGAAUUCGUGGUGUAGCGGUGAAAUGCUUAGA